AUUGAACGCUGGCGGCAGGCCUAACACAUGCAAGUCGAGCGAGCGGCGGACGGGUGAGUAAUGUAUGGGGACUGCCCGAUAGAGGGGGAUAACUACUGGAAACGGUGGCUAAUACCGCAUACUGUCGGAAACCCCAUAGGGGAUUAGCUAGUAGGUAAGGUAGUGGCUUACCUAGGCGACGAUCCCUAGCUGGUCUGAGAGGAUGAUCAGCGACACUGGGACUGAGACACGGCCCAGACUCCUACGGAGGCAGCAGUGGGGAAUAUUGCACAAUGGGCGCAAGCGUGAUGAAGCCAUGCCGCGUGUAUGAAGAAGGCCCUAGGGUUUUAAAGUACUUUCAGUCGGGAGGCGUUACCGACAGAAGAAGCACCGGCUAACUCCGUGCCAGCAGCCGCGGUAAUAC
rnacentral:rRNA from 1 species